rnacentral:rRNA from 1 species
AGUGAACGCUGGCGGUAGGCCUAACACAUGCAAGUCGAACGGCAGCACAGUAAGAGCUUGCUCUUACGGGUGGCGAGUGGCGGACGGGUGAGGAAUACAUCGGAAUCUACUUUUUCGUGGGGGAUAACGUAGGGAAACUUACGCUAAUACCGCAUACGACCUACGGGUGAAAGCAGGGGAUCUUCGGACCUUGCGCGAUUGAAUGAGCCGAUGUCGGAUUAGCUAGUUGGCGGGGUAAAGGCCCACCAAGGCGACGAUCCGUAGCUGGUCUGAGAGGAUGAUCAGCCACACUGGAACCUGAACACGGGCCAGACUCCUACGGGAGGCAGCAGUGGGGAAUAUUGGACAAUGGGCGCAAGCCUUAUCCAACCAUACCGCGUGGGUGAAGAAGGCCUUCGGGUUGUAAAGCCCUUUUUUUUGGAAAGAAAAGCAGCAGGUUAAUACCCCGCCGUUCUGACGGUACCCAAAGAAUAAGCACCGGCUAACUUCGUG